GACGACGCUGGCGGCGUGCUUAACACAUGCAAGUCGAACGGUGACGAGGAGCUUGCUCCUCUGAUCAGUGGCGAACGGGUGAGUAACACGUGAGUAACCUGCCCCAGACUCUGGAAUAACAGUUGGAAACAGCUGCUAAUACCGGAUACGAGACGGAGAGGCAUCUCUACCGUCUGGAAAGUUUUUCGGUCUGGGAUGGACUCGCGGCCUAUCAGCUUGUUGGUGAGGUAAUGGCUCACCAAGGCGACGACGGGUAGCCGGCCUGAGAGGGCGACCGGCCACACUGGGACUGAGACACGGCCCAGACUCCUACGGGAGGCAGCAGUGGGGAAUAUUGCACAAUGGGCGAAAGCCUGAUGCAGCAACGCCGCGUGAGGGAUGACGGCCUUCGGGUUGUAAACCUCUUUCAGUAGGGAAGAAGCGAAAGUGACGGUACCUACAGAAGAAGCACCGGCUAACUACGUG
rnacentral:rRNA from 1 species